ACUUGGGUGGCUCAGUUGUUUGAGUGUCUGACUUUGGCUCAGGUCAUGAUACCAUGGUUCAUGGGUUCAAGCCCCACAUCAGGUU
rnacentral:tRNA from 1 species